CCCAGACUCCUACGGGAGGCAGCAGUGGGGAAUAUUGCACAAUGGGGGAAACCCUGAUGCAGCGACGCCGCGUGAGCGAAGAAGUAUUUCGGUAUGUAAAGCUCUAUCAGCAGGGAAGAAAAAAAUGACGGUACCUGAGUAAGAAGCACCGGCUAAAUACGUGCCAGCAGCCGCGGUAAUACGUAUGGUGCAAGCGUUAUCCGGAUUUACUGGGUGUAAAGGGAGCGUAGGCGGCGCGUUAAGUCUGAUGUGAAAACCCGAGGCUCAACCACGGGAGUGCAUUGGAAACUGGCGGGCUGGAGUGCCGGAGAGGUAAGCGGAAUUCCUAGUGUAGCGGUGAAAUGCGUAGAUAUUAGGAGGAACACCAGUGGCGAAGGCGGCUUACUGGACGGCAACUGACGCUGAGGCUCGACAGCGUGGGGAGCAAACAGGAUUAGAUCCCCUUGUA
rnacentral:rRNA from 1 species